ensembl:lncRNA
GGGGGAUGGGGUCCUCCGGGCUGGGUGCGGAGGGUGGAGGGGAGCCACGGCCCUCGGGGUGGCGGGGCUCAGAGGGGUGCGGAUCCUGGCCAGCCGGGCGGGUAGGUGAGGUUUCUACCCUGACCCAGGCCUAGCCCUGACCCUGAUUCUAACCCUAAUCCUAGUCCUGGGGAGAGCAGACAGACGGGAAACGGAGGCUGAGGCUACGCGGCGAUCGCCCUGGGGUAGGGCACCCUCCAGGGUUGGAUGUCAAAGUUUCCUAAAAUACAGAAAAUGAAAAAGGCAAAGUGAAUAUACCUUUGGAGUAGAAAGAGCUUCUCAAAAAGAUGGGCACACAGCAUAGUUCACCCUAGGGAAGAUUAUCACCAAAAUGGGUAUAAAAGGGAAACGAAGAAGGAAGGAUGGCUUCUGUGUCUUUGGAGAAGCUCAUCUUCAACUUCACCUUGGACGUCAUCUCCUGGCUUCUCACAGACCCUUCAGCCUCCUAACAUGGACUCGCGUGGGACACUACAGUGAGCACCAGCCUUUGACUGGAUCCUUCAGAUCUCCAGUGUGCAGACAGCCCCUUUCCACUCUUCCACGCCUGACUCUGUGGGUGGCCAUUGUAGGCAAAUAGUUAUCUCCUACUGAAGGGGAACAGUUGUCACAGAAGAUGAACCUAUGUGAUGUGGCAUCUUCAUCCAGCAUCCACAGGCGACAUCGGGCCCACACUUCGUGUCUGACCCUGUGGACUGAUGACAUGUGUCCACUGUUGUGGUGUUGUGCCGAGGAGUUUCACUGCCUGGAAAGUCCCCUGUGCUCCACCUGGUCAUCCUCCCUCCUCGCUCUGUAACCACCCAUUAUUUUACCUUUUCCAGAACGUUGUAUGAUUGUAACCAUACAGAAU